rnacentral:rRNA from 1 species
CCUACGGGGGGCAGCAGUGGGGAAUAUUGGGCAAUGGGCGCAAGCCUGACCCAGCAACGCCGCGUGAAGGAAGAAGGCUUUCGGGUUGUAAACUUCUUUUCUGAGGGACGAAGAAAGUGCCGGUACCUCAGGAAUAAUCCACGGCUAACUACGUGGCAGCAGCCGCGGUAAUACGUAGGUGGCAAGCGUUAUCCGGAUUUAUUGGGUGUACAGGGCGUGUAGGCGGGAAAGCAAGUCAGAUGUGAAAACUCAGGGCUCAACCCUGAUCCUGCAGUUGAAACUGUUUUUCGUGAGUGCUGGAGAGGCAAUCGGAAUUCGGGGUGUAGCGGUGAAAUGCAUAGAUAUCGCGCAGAACUCCGAUUGCGAAGGCAGCGUACCGGCGCCAGACUGACGCUGAGGCACGAAAGCGUGGGGAUCGAACAGGAUUAGAUACCCUUGUAGUC